UAAAAUGUAGCAAAGGUUGAGCUACCUUUGGGAUAGCACACCUGGUUGUGUUAAACUUAUCCUACGUUGUACAAUUGCAGAAUUUCCAACCUGGUGAUACAAUUACCUUGGUCGGACCAAUGUGAUACCAGUUAGCGUUCAACCGAUUAUGGGGCUGAUUGACCUUUAACUCGACUUACCUCGGUUACCCUUCUUUAGCCACUCACGGGCGGCCCAUCUCGGAUUCCAUACCACCUCUCUCCUGUAAUAAGUACGUGGUAAGCUAAAUAUGAGACAGAUACGAAAGAGGUGGGUGGUAUAGGAAUCUGCGAUUUUAUGAUGUAAUAUAAGUAUGUAUUUGCACUCUUUAAGGCUCUAUAAGGCAAAUUUACUUCAAAAAAGAGGUUUCAUGCCUUAGCAAAAAGAAUCCUUAUGGCCAGGGAAGAAUUUUUACAUAUUGCGCAAAGUAUGUACAUCAGUAUCUAGAUAAAGGGUGUUAAUAAAGUC